UCAUCUUCAGCCUUAUUCUUGCCAUUGUUCUUCAUUGGAGGGGAGAUUAGAGCCGUUUGAAGGGAGUUGUGAAAUCUUUCGGGAUUUCAAGGCUUCUUAGGACUUUAUCUUUAUUUUCUUGCUGUUCAAUCUCUUUUAAAUUUCUGCUUGUGUCGAUUUUUAUUAACUAAUUUGUUUGUUGUUCUUAUUGCGUUUCAGCCUUUCCAAAACAUCCAAGAUCUGAU
rnacentral:lncRNA from 1 species